rnacentral:misc_RNA from 1 species
GAUGAAGAACGCAGCGAAAUGCGAUAAGUAAUGUGAAUUGCAGAAUUCAGUGAAUCAUCGAAUCUUUGAACGCACAUUGCGCCCGCCAGUAUUCUGGCGGGCAUGCCUGUCCGAGCGUCAUUUCAACCCUCGAACCCCUCCGGGGGGUCGGCGUUGGGGAUCGGCCCUCCCUUAGCGGGUGGCCGUCUCCGAAAUACAGUGGCGGUCUCGCCGCAGCCUCUCCUGCGCAGUAGUUUGCACACUCGCAUCGGGAGCGCGGCGCGUCCACAGCCGUUAAACACCCAACUUCUGAAAUGUUGACCUCGGAUCAGGUAGGAAUACCCGCUGAACUUAAGCAUAUCAAUAAGA